rnacentral:rRNA from 1 species
AUGGAUUGCUUCGAUCCCAGUUGCCUGCCACGCGAAAGGUAUGUGGUCUUCGUUGUGUCCACCAUGGGGCAGGGGGACCCCCCAGAUUCCAUGAAGGAUUUUUGGACAUACCUUACCAGAAAGUCUCUGGGUGCGCGAUGGCUGGAAGGGCUAUUUUAUGCCGUGUUUGGGCUCGGCGAUUCAACCUAUGGGAAGUACAAUUAUCCUGCAAAGAAGCUCGAUCGAAGGCUUUUCAAUCUUGGUGCAAAAAGAAUCACAGAAAAAGGCUUGGGAGAUGAUCAACAUUCAUCUGGAUACGAAGGAGCUCUAGAUCCGUGGUUGCUGAUUUUGUGGAAAUCCCUGAAUCAAACAAAUUCGUCGCUGUUACCAAGAAUAUCUGAUGCCAUUCAUCCUAAUUUGAAUAUUUUGGGGGAUGCAAAGGUAGAAGUCAUAUAUUACUCGGCUCCACAAGAUACCACCAUUUCAGACCCCAAAAUAUUAAUUGAGAGAGCGCGCUCAAUGUCCCCUGCUCUGAAGUAUCAUAAUGAAGGAGAGCCACAAUUCAUGUUACAAAUGGUAACAAAUCAAUGUUUGACUAAGGGAGAUUCUGACAGAGAUGUCCGCCAUUUUGAAUUGGAAGAUCGAUAUUCUCCCAUCAGUUAUCAAGUUGGUGAUGCCCUAGAAAUUCUACCAAGUCAGAAUCCAUCAGCUGUUGAUGCUUUCAUUAAACGCUGUAACUUGGAUCCAGAUUGUUACAUAACGAUUCGAGCAAAGGGUAGUGACAAACUUUCCAAAGGUUCACCUAUGAACAGUUUGAUGGAUCCCAUCAAGCUAAAGACCUUUGUUGCUUUGACAAUGGAUGUCACAUCAGCUUCCCCUCGGCGAUGUUUCUUUGAGAUCAUGAGCUAUUUCGCAACAGAUACCGAUGAAAAGGAAAAACUUCAGUAUUUAACUUCUCCUGAAGGAAGAGACGACCUUUACUGGUACAAUCAGAAGGAGAACCGGACUGUUUUGGAAGUUUUGCAGGAGUUUCCCUCGGUGCACAUGCCUUUUGAAUGGUUGGUGCAACUGACACCGCCAUUAAAAAGAAGAGCAUUUUCCAUUUCGUCAUCCCCAUUAGUCCAUCCAAAUCAGAUACACUUGACUGUCAGUAUUGUAUCAUGGCGUACUCCUUUAAAGAGGACACGACAUGGUCUCUGCUCUACAUGGCUAGCGGGGCUCUCUCCAAAUGAAGAGAGUAUUAUACCGUGUUGGAUACACCGAGGAUCCCUGCCUCAUCCAAAGCCAUCAGUUCCUCUUGUGCUUAUUGGACCAGGAACAGGAUGCGCACCAUUCCGUGCGUUUGUGGAGGAAAGGGCUGCACAGAGUGUGGCAGAACCAACUGCUCCUGUUCUAUUCUUCUUUGGCUGUAGAAAUCAAGAUAAUGAUUUUCUGUACAAGGACUUCUGGUUAAAUCAUGCCCAGGACCAGGGGGUGCUUUCCCUAGAAAAGGGUGGUGGUUUAUUUGUUGCGUUUUCUAGGGAUCAACCUCAAAAGGUCUAUGUACAAGAUAAAAUUAGGGAGCAGGGUGCAAGAGUGUUGAACAUGUUAUGCUCCUCUGAGGCUACAAUAUACGUUGCUGGGUCUUCUACCAGAAUGCCUGCUGAUGUUACGGCUGCAUUGGAAGAAGUUUUAUGUCAGCAGGGUGGUGUUCCAAAAAAUGAUGUUUCGCAAUGGGUGACGGUCUGA